rnacentral:tRNA from 8 species
GCGGCUGUAGCUCAGUUGGAUAGAGUGUUUGACUACGAAUCAAAAGGUCGGGGGUUCGAAUCCCUUCAGCCGUACCA